AUUGAACGCUGGCGGCAGGCCUAACACAUGCAAGUCGAACGAGUGGCAGACGGGUGAGUAAUGUCUGGGAAUCUGCCUGAUGGAGGGGGAUAACUACUGGAAACGGUAGAUAAUACCGCAUACUAUCAGAUGUGCCCAGAUGGGAAUAGCUAGUUGGUGGGGUAACGGCUCACCAAGGCGACGAUCCCUAGCUGGUCUGAGAGGAUGACCAGCCACACUGGAACUGAGACACGGCCCAGACUCCUACGGGAGGCAGCAGUGGGGAAUAUUGCACAAUGGGCGCAAGCCUGAUGCAGCCAUGCCGCGUGUAUGAAGAAGGCCCUCGGGUUGUAAAGUACUUUCAGCGGGGAGGCGUUACCCACAGAAGAAGCACCGGCUAACUCCGUGCCAGCAGCCGCGGUAAUAC
rnacentral:rRNA from 1 species